rnacentral:rRNA from 1 species
UACGUAGGGUGCAAGCGUUAAUCGGAAUUACUGGGCGUAAAGUGUGCGCAGGCGGCCGAGCAAGUCGAGUGUGAAAGCCCCGAGCUUAACUUGGGAAUUGCGCUCGAAACUACUUGGCUGGAGUGUGGCAGAGGAAGGUGGAAUUCCAGGUGUAGCGGUGAAAUGCGUAGAGAUCUGGAGGAACACCGAUGGCGAAGGCAGCCUCCUGGGCCAACACUGACGCUCAUGCACGAAAGCGUGGGGAGCAAACAGG